GACGAACGCUGGCGGCGUGCUUAACACAUGCAAGUCGAACGGAAAGGCCCGGCUUUUGUGGGGUGCUCGAGUGGCGAAGGGGUGAGUAACACGUGAGUAACCUGCCCUUGCCUUUGGGAUAACUUCAGGAAACUGGGGCUAAUACCGGAUAGGAGCUCCUGCUGCAUGGUGGGGGUUGGAAAGUUUCGGCGGUUGGGGAUGGACUCGCGGUUUAUCAGCUUGUGGGUGGGGUAGUGGCUUACCAAGGCUUUGACGGGUAGCCGGCCUGAGAGGGUGACCGGCCACAUUGGGACUGAGAUACGGCCCAGACUCCUACGGGAGGCAGCAGUGGGGAAUAUUGCACAAUGGGCGGAAGCCUGAUGCAGCAACGCCGCGUGCGGGAUGACGGCCUUCGGGUUGUAAACCGCUUUCGCCUGUGACGAAGCGUGAGUGACGGUAAUGGGUAAAGAAGCACCGGCUAACUACGUG
rnacentral:rRNA from 1 species